UAUAAUUCUUUUCAAUUUCGCAGUAUAUUUAACAUUUUACUCGCAUUUUAAUACUGGGGAAUGUGUAGGUAGAGGAGAAAGAAUUUCAGUAGGAUUUCGGAUCUGUGCCUUUGCACGAGCCGAAGCGAUUGGUCCUAAAAGAGGCGAAAGAAGAGCAGUGGAGAUGGGUCACGCACAUAGAUGAGUAGAUAAAUAGGAGUUUACUCAAUCUCCGGUGGGAGGACGUAAAGCAAACGAUAUUGGAACCGUUCGGGUGUGCAUCGAUGUAAAUAAAGGGAUGAGAAAAUCUUCGUCGGGGGCGUUCGUGCGUGCGGCCAUUACGCUAGAUUGGAUCUUUUUCGUGAACGUCCUAUUUGAUAAUCACGUCGUCUUGUGCCUUCGUACAGAUUUUAGGAAUAAUCAAGCGAGGUAGCGGACCGUAUCCGGCGGGUAUAGUUGCAACAGCUACAAUGUUACAUCCUUGACGGUGUGCGAGUAAAUUUCAUAGCGCGAGCGAGGACCGCAACCGCAAUAAAAGACGAGCGCAUCCACGGACGUGCUCGUAUACUGGAAGACCAAUGGCGACACGUGCAAACGCGCGACAGUGAGCUCGAAAAGAGCGACUGCAUCUACGGCUACUGCGGCAACGCUGCGGCUCCAGUUUAUUCAUGUCCAACGAAAUAUUUCAUGCAAGUCGGUGAGAAGGUUUUCGGCGGAUCACACGCACGCGAGACAUUGUCGGCCGGCUAAAAUUGUCCGGCUAUCAAGAGCCAGCCUUACGGCUGUGAAACACCGUCGCGCACUUAGGCCGCGGUUGUGUACACGAGAAGAGGAUGAUUUAUAAUUUCAACUAUACAAUGUAUACGUCGGGUUUGCAUCUCGAUUGUCUUAACUUGACGGUUACCCGCGACCCGCUAUUUCCCCCAGUCACGACACCGCUCGCAUGUUGGAUUUUAUCCGACAUGCAAUUUCUUUUCUAUUUUCUUGUAAUUUAUUAUCCGCGUUUCCACCCUCGGAGAAAAGGAAUAAAUAAUCGACUCGAGGUAUUCUCGUAUAACAAAAUGCGGAAUGUAAAUUUCUCUUACAUUAUAUGUAUAUGCAUGCAGA